CAGCUCAAGUUCCAGCCCAAAGCUGCAGUCAGGUGAAUGAGGGUGGGCUUGGGCGGUCUCAGCCUCUUUAUUCACUUUUGCCAUAAUGGGCAAAUCUCCCUCCUGGCAAUGUCUGAUCCCUUACCCAUGACAUUUCGGUGCCCCUGUGAGCCCCAGUGGCAUACGACAGCUACCCCGAGCCCCACAGGGCCGAGGCCUGGCUUUGGAGGGCGGGCUGUGCGGGCCAUGAGGAAUUGGCCAGAUGGACGCGGCCAGGGAGUCCCCACUGUAAAAUUAAAAUUGUGUGGUAAAAGAAAUGCUCUCUUGGAAGAAGACAUCCUGCUUCCACUCCAGGAAAUUUAAUAAAGAAGGUUCCCUUCAGGUGCUGGAUGGUCACAAUUAGGUCACCUUCUCUAUUCCUUCUGAACAAGACUGAAUAAACCCAGUUCUUCCAAUGGCAUCCUCUGGACUUGCUCCAACAUCCUCCCUGUGCUGGGACCCCAGAGCUGAUGCAGUGCUCCAGAUACAAGAAGUCUGCAGAAGCCAGAAAUUCUUACUAUGAACAGCUCCAAAGCCUUGAUUUUUUUUUUUUUUCAUUUUAUUUAUUCAGAAAAUGAUGAAGAACACCUGCAUCACAAACCAGACUUCUAUGUGUGUCUACUGGGGGCCAAAAUAAAAAGCCAGUACCAGAAAGUGCU